rnacentral:lncRNA from 1 species
UUUGGUUGGUUUGAAGGGUUACCCCAUACAAGAUGGAUUAGAAUUCUUUAUUUUGACUCCAGGAGGUUGGAUAAUAGCACCUGCUUCCCAGGGCUGUUGUGAGGACCAGACGAGUAAAAUCCUUGCAAAGUACUUAGCCCUGCCUAGAACACAUCGAGCUUCACGUAAACGUCAGCUCUGAGUUUCAUUGAGCCCAUAUACCAGACGACCGGCAUUCCCCAGGCCCAGCCAAACGCUCUCCAUGUCUCCUGGUUUCCCUCGGGUCAGUCUCUUUGGCAGACGAAACAAAGCAAACACAGCCUUCCCCUGGCCUGCGUCCCCUUGACCUCUCCUGCUGCCCUGGGCCCACUCCUGUCCUACUCCUCCUGGAAGCAGCCCCAGGGGUCUGAGCCAGUGCUUUGGGCAUCCAGCCCCUGCCCAUGGUUUCCCUACUCUGAGCCUUGGCUUCCCUGCGUGUUUGCGUCACUUCGUGCGUGAAGAUGCCGGCGCACAGGAAGCAUUUCAUUAGAGCCGCGGCCUGUUGUGAUUGGUUGCCGGAGUGGGAGAGACUGGGGGCUGGACUAGCCUCGGAGGAGCCCCAGGGCCCCCGACGUCUGAGACCCCACGCCUGGUGACUCUCCGUGGGCUCUGGGGCUGUGAAGACCACGCACGAGCAGUACAGAAGUGGGAACGUCUGGUCUGAGCAGGGCGGACACCCAGCGUGACCCCUCACUCUCCUGCUUCUCCUCUCCUCCCCCCUCUGCCUUCUGUGGCCUCUGCUCUUGCCCAAGGAGAACAGCCGGGAGGAAGAGGGAAUGGCUUCUGCCCUGACAGCCAGGCCCGGGAAGGGAGCAUUCAGGUGGCCUCCUUGGAUCAUCUGGAAACUGAUCCCUAUUCCCAGGGUGUACUUACGCACAGCAUCAGGAGGUGAGAAACAAGGGCAGCAUCCUUAUAGCUCAGAAUAUGUCCAGUAACCGUGGGUCACACUGUCUAUCCUGAGUGGGGAGUCAUACCUCUUUCCCUCCCUCAGUCCUUCUUCCAUGGCCUGCUAGAUAGGAGAGGGAGAAGAAAUGGUACAGGGUACUAGCAAGAGGAGUUAGGAACAUGUAUGAGGCCUUGUUCCCGUAGGUAGAUGGGCAGAGAUGGGAGAUGAUGCUAAGCCAACAUGGUAAGGGAACUGGAGAUAGUGAGAGAAGUGUUCGUGAACUAUAGAUCCUUUGACAUAUACCUGCAUUGAUGCACCAUUCCCAAUGUGCUUAUAGCCUAUUUGUGCCUGACCUGUGGUAGAGCUUUCUGAGCUCAUAUUGGUCUGAUCAGCCAGUGUUGGGCACACUGUACUUUGACCCUGGCAUAGUGAUGUACACAUUAAGGAUGAUGGGAACAUAGAUGAAAGACACCCACAAGAAAGUGAUUAGAACCCAGGAACACAGAGCCCAGUGGAUUAGCAACCAGCACCUUCAGCUCUCUUCUAUCUUGUCCCAGGCUUCCUUGUCGUCUACAACAUGUAAGAUGGCCUAGUUCAUUCCUCCAAGUAUUCCCUUCACUCAGGAUCAGAGAAUUUAGAAUGGCCCACAAUGAUGAUGUCCUCCAAGCAUUCGUUUUUACAAAUGAAGAAACUGAAGCCAGAGAUGUGUAUUGACAGGGCCAAGCUCACAUACUCAAUCCCUCUUUCUUAUGGUUUAUAGGUUUCUGCUUAUAUUCAAA